rnacentral:tRNA from 1 species
CCACUGAGAAAUGCAUUUUAUUGUGCUAAAAAGUACAGACAGGUAUAUUUUUCCCUCAACUCACCCAGGUUCUUGCAUUUUCAUAUUUAAAUCCCAAAGGUAAAGGGGGAGGGGGAAAUCCCCGCCCCGCCUGGGACUCAGCUAUCAGGUGAGAAAGCGCCUUUGUCAGGCGGUAGUUUCCGUAGUGUAGUGGUUAUCACGUUCGCCUAACACGCGAAAGGUCCCCGGUUCGAAACCGGGCGGAAACACUCCCUUUACUUUCGCUUUUUUCACCCUCUUCUGAUUCCAAGGAUCACAGCUCCGCGGAGAGCCCAGCAGACAAGCACCGUCUUUAUUCUCUAGCUCUGCCCCAGCAGGGUGUGACCAGAGCACCCCUUCCUGUCCCGGGCCUCGGGACCAUCGCCCGGAGGCUGACGGUGACGGUUCGGAGGUCCCUGUCACACUGUCCCCUCCGCUGGCCUUGGCCCGGGCGAGGGUCCUGGACGCAGUGCUUGAGGGACUGGGCGGGCGUGCAGGGCGUGCACCGUGCUUCUACGGCUCUCUGCCGGCCACGGCCCAGCCCAAAAAUCCCAACGGAGCUGUGGAGUUUGCAAGUCUGGGCCGGGAAUGCGACCACUGAAGAUCUGGCGUGGCAUCCAGGGGCGGCAGGGCCAAGGUCUCCUUCGGUGGCAGCUCAGACUCCGCCCCUCAUGACCUCAUCACACCCAAAAGUGCCGGACUUCACUGUGGCAAUUAAAUUUCAGCAAACGUCCAAACCAUGGCAACUCCUGUAGCCCGAAGCCACCAAAAUCAUCUGCUAGUUACCCACUAAUAUUACACUUGCUAAAAGAACACCAGUUGACCAGCACAGGAACUAUUCGCAAGAACAAAGCAGAGAUUCCUGAAAAAUUGUUGCAAGGUCACAAUAGACAAAUAUAUGGUACAAUCUUUGGAUUUCAGAAAGACAUAACAUUGGCCUCCUAUGUGGGGAAGAAAAACAAAGUAGUAUUGACUGUCAACAUUACACCGUGAUGAUAAAACCAAUUGUGAAGCCCCUUCCGCUGAUCUGUGCUGUGACUCUGCUCUUCCUUGUAAAAGCCUGUAAACACGAUGGGGAAGAGUCUCCUAGAGAGAAACGAAGCUUUGCUUUCCUAGCUCAGCCGACAUUAGACUUGGGGUCGGCCGGGCGUCGGCGGACCGCAGUGGGAAUUUCCAGAGCGCCGCGUGAACUCUGCCGAUCCCUGCAUCGAGCGGAGGCCCUGAGCUGGAGGGCGGCUGCGGCUGCGAUCGCGGGCGGGUGUGAGCGGUCUGCCACCCGCCGAAUCCCAUACUCCGCUGGGGCCGUGUGUCUACGUAGUGAGGCUCCUAGAAAUCAAGCACUUAACAGCUCCCAGGCGAUGAUGCCACCUAAACUGGGCGUGCUUGGGAUGGAUUUAAAAGUGCAAUUGGGAUGCAGCUCAGUGGGAAGUCCGUGGGUUUCAUCCUCGGUACCUCAAAAAAAAUUUUUUUUGAUUUUUUAAAAUUAAAAACUGCAAUUUCAGGCCCGCACUCAGCAGCUCGCCCACAAAGUGCCAUGACUUGAGGUUGUUGGGAACCGACCCUGGCUAACCCGGAAGUCUUGAUUAGGCCGCCUGGAAAAGACCCACUUAGGCUGUGGUUUCCGUAGUGUAGUGGUUAUCACGUUCGCCUCACACGCGAAAGGUCCCCGGUUCGAAACCGGGCGGAAACAUCCCUCUUUUGCCUGUCGCACUGAGCUCCCGCGACUCCCUAGCCACACGGAGGCUUGGUCCCCAGGCUGGGGCGCUCUGUGGAUUCCCCUAGAGCCCACCAUUCCCCGUGCCAAGGCUUUUUGCAGUCCCUGACCACCACCACUUUCGGUUUAAGGUGCUGUUCCAGUACCGGCUGUGGGUAAACAAUCUCCCAGCCGGACCUGGCGGCGACCUGCUCGUCCCCGAGGCCCAGACCCGGGGCGAGCUCUGCCGUCGGUGGUUUGAAAUUCUUUUUUUUUGUUGUUGUUAAACAAGGAGCGUCUUCCUUUGGCUCUGCGCCCGUAAAGGACAGCGCAUGAGCACCUCCUCCCGGGUGCUCCCUGCAGCGGGUCCCCGAUCUCACUGCCCCUUAGCGGAGGCAGCAGAGCGCCGGGGCGCGCAGCUCGGAGAGUAGGCGCGCGCAGAGCUGAGAGCCCCACGCGCGGGAGAGCAGCAGCCAGGACACCGUCGCCCGGGAGGCGGUCCCGGACCUCAGCCCCUCCUGGCCUCCUCGGGUUUCCCUCAGCCCCUUGCAUCCCCUUCCGUGCUGUCCCAGAGCUCAGGAUGGAGAAAAAGGUCCUCACAGCGAGUGUCCUUCUUGCCUUCUUUGCGAAUUGUAUUAAAAGCAAAAAUGUUAAACGACUCUGGUUCUUAGGAAAUGUGUGAAGUAGGAAGAUGUAGAAAGUUACAGUUCAAUCCUGUUUGAGGGCCUCUGUCAAUGACUUUGCGAAUUCCCGGGCCUCACGCUACCA